UAUGACUGGUUAAAGUAAUGCACCGUUCUGACCAAAACAGCCAAUCAGAACUAGCAGGACACUCUUAGCAAUGUCAAUUAGCCUCAGUCACUCACUGCUAAAUGUGCUAAUGGUGGAGAAACAACUUAUCAAUACAAGUGUGGUAUGUUGGUGCAGAUUCACCUUUAAGGUGAGUGGUGGGCGGCACCAACGUAGCCUUUAAAACCAGGUGUGUGUGGCGCUCACAUACAAUUGUUCUGGGCUGUGGAGAUGGCGUUGUGUGAGCUCCCAUGAUGCUGUCCUUCCUCAAGCAUCAAAUAAUGGUCUCCAGGAUUGUGGUUGUGUUGAUGGUCCCGUUUUGCUCUCUGGGAGUGCGUGUGGUCAGGCACGCGUCGUGGGCGUGGAGUUCUUAACCGAGAUCCUGAGGUGUUCGGGACUUGGCGGUGGAUUGCUGUGUGGUUUCCCCGCUCUCUCCUCCUGCCGCUUCCUGGUGCGCACCUGGCCUAAUUGUCCGUGGCGCGAGGGGAGCGCAGCCACGACAACGCCGUUGUUUUGUCCAUGCUUUUGUUUUGUCUUUUCAGCUGGGUGUCAUUUACCCAACUGGUGAUUUAUUCUUUAUUUUGGCCAGGGUUCAACCGUUUCUGGUGAGUCCCCCUAUUAUUUUUCAGUACGUUUAUUUAUAAUUUUCCUUUUUUUGUUUUGUUUGCAUGAGUUGUGUUGUUGUUUA